UACAUCAUAGGCCAAAUACUAUGUUGAUAAGCUUGAAAGCCUGCCCUGAAUCAUCAUCUAUUGAUGGAGAUGGUGUCAUCCUACCUUGAUUGUAUCCAGAAGUUUCAUCCUCAGGAUAAAUGAUGGACACCUCUCAGAUGACCAACCUCUUUUGCUCGACUCUAGGGAAGGUUGCUUCUUGCAUUCUGGCAACUGCCCUCUGUCUACAUGAUUAGACUCGUUGGUUGCAGUGCUUCCUGGAGUAAUGAAGGGAUCUGGGGCACAGGGCUUAACCCACUGGGCACCGUCUCUAAGCCAACUUUGCCUGAAUGGGUCCCCUGUUUUUUUCUUCUGCUCUUGUUGAACCGUGUCUCUAUUCCUCACGCUCCUGGGAAUUUCUUGCUUUGGUCAUGAAAAAAAAAAUGGAAACUCUCUCAAGGACUAACAAUCAGAGCUGCUUGGUUGACAAGGGACGUUAUAGUUGCAAGAAGACCCUGAAGCAAGGAUUCUACAUCAAACAUUCAGGGCAAUCUGAGUUUGUAUUUAAGAUCCUUCUGCCUAUAGCAGUAGCUUAUAUGUUACAUUCAAUUGACAUAUAAGUACUGUGAAGAAAUAUUUUAUUAUGACUACUAAUGACAUUAGCAUUGUAUAUUUCAUAAUGUAAUUGCAGACAGAAAGUUGGUAUAUUUAAUUCAAAUUAUGAUUAUUCUUUAAAAGCAAAACUUGAAAAUUCAGUUUAUAUACA